UACGUAGGAGGCAAGCGUUGUUCGGAAUUACUGGGCGUAAAGCGCGUGUAGGCUGCUUCGCAAGUCGGGUGUGAAAGCCCUGGGCUCAACCUAGGAAGUGCACUCGAAACUGCGAAGCUUGAGUCCUGGAGAGGAAGGCGGAAUUCUCGGUGUAGAGGUGAAAUUCGUAGAUAUCGAGAGGAACACCGGUGGCGAAGGCGGCCUUCUGGACAGUGACUGACGCUGAGACGCGAAAGCGUGGGGAGCAAACAGG
rnacentral:rRNA from 1 species